ensembl:lncRNA
GUUGAACGGCAGUUUUAGGAAGGAUGGCAGCAGCAGGAAGCAGCAGUGACUGUGCAGCUCUGUUUUUACUGUCGGAUGAGACGGAUCGCCUGUUUGUAAGGCACAAGAAGAAGAAAGAGAGGGAAAUUUAAGGCAUGCAUAUGGAAAACUUCAACAUUUCUACAUUAACAGAGCAGUCAUAAAGCAAGUGAUUCUAAUAUCCACGCUGGCAUUUCAAAAGCCCUGGAAAUUUUUCAAGUGUGGACAGUAAGACUUAGCUGUCUCUUAGACGCGUUUCUAUUAAAACGUGCUUCCGUAAAUGCAUUUCAAGAGAACUUGGAUCACAAUCCCAACAUUUUGAUUGUUUAGCAGCUCAGUUAUCUGCUCAUUUAAUUCCAAUAAUGCUGACAUUCAGAGGAUAUGGCAGCAGCGUCAUUCAUGCUACCUGCCGCAGGCUGUGAAGAACAUUAUCUCAUUUCAAAACAGCGGAGGAUGAGGAACGCAGAUGGACUGAGCAAAUGAUUGUUUCAAAAGGAGCGUUCGAAAAGAGGCGAAUGCGGACGUCAAAACCCUGCAGUCGUGAUUGCAAAACAAGACGGCCCCUGCUGAUGCUGACUUUUGCUCCGCCUGCUUUUUCUUUACCCUUCAACACUGCAUAAAUUUCAGAUUAGUGCUACACAACGUGAACAAAGAGACUAUCGCACAUCUAAACAUCAGAAGUUUAGCUUAUCCAGCUUGAAGGACCGAUGAGUUCAUGACAUAGAGAGGCGUCCACAGUUCACAAGAAUCGAAGUUCGUCUUGGAGUUUUGCUCCAAUUUUACUGAAACUUGCACACAAGUGUUCACCUUAAAGGUCUUCACUCAAAUUCUGCUCAAGAUCACAUUUGUGUUUUUUAUGGCCACAUUUCCAUUAUUAUAGCGUGACUUUAAUGCACUCUACUUACAGAUUCAUCUAAUCUUCGCUCCUGUACUGAACAGUAUUAUCAUUGGAUUAAAAUCACCAUACUUGUUGCCACAUGCAGAUGGUGAUGAACAUCAUCAGCUGAUAUCAGUAAUACAGUCAGUGCCAUGACAUGCUG